UUAGAAAGGUCACUGGUUGACCUUUGUGGUGGCGGCAGGGGUUACCGGCAUUCAGUUGCUGGUACGCAGCUUUCUGUUCACGCCCAGGAGCUACACACCCUUGAGGUGACUGGCCAGGGCACGAUAGCCCAGAUCAAGGCUCACACAGACUUGGAGGGCAUCACUCCAAGGAGAUCAAGCCCUGCUCCUGGCAGGCACACCCCUAGACGAUGAAGCUACCAGGGCCAGUGUGGGGUGGAGGCUCCGACCACUCUGGAAGUAACCAUCCACAUGCUUGGAGGUAAAGUCCAUGGCUCCCUGGGCCGUGCUGGGAGAGUAAGAGGGCAGACCCAAAGUGGCCAAACAGGAGAAAAAGAAGAUAGGCCAGGCCAAGCAGUGGAUGCAGAACUGGUGUUUGUUAAUGCUGUGCCCGCCUUUGGCAAGAAGAAGGGCCCCAGUGCCAACUCUUAAGUCUUUUGUAAUCCUGGCUUUUACUAAUAAAGCCACUUAGCCCAGUCAAAAAAAAAGAAGAAGAAGAAGAAGAAGAAGAAAGAAAAGAAAAGAAAGAAGAAAGAGAAAGAAAGUUCACUGGUCCCCAUGUGGCAACAGCCUGGAGGGGAGGAAAAAUGGAGAAGGAAAACCAGAGAGGAGGAUAUUGCUACCAUCCAGGUGAGAGAGGGUGCGGCUGAACUUAGGGGUGGUGGCCAUGGAGAGAAGUGACUGGGUGUUCCAGAGAUAUUAGGGAGAUAGAAAUGGCAGGUCUUGGUGGCUAGUAGGGGUGGGGAGGGUUUGGGAGGAAGCCAAGAUACCCUCCAGUUACUUCCUGUGACUGUCCCCUCCACAGGACAGCGUCCUUUCUUGGUCCUCAGGCCCAGCAUGGAGUCCAGCAUGGUUUCCGUCAUGUGUGCUGACGAGCAUGCCAGCUGGGAUGCCCUGGAGCUCCUAGAGGGCUGUAAGUGCCCAGAGCCUUUGUGGCCUUAUGUGGAUGUGGACGGAGCAGGGAAGGGGGAAGGACAGUUCAUGCUUAUGCAGCUGAAGUCCCUUGUAUCUUUGGGGAAGUGACCCUUAUGUUUGUCUCUCCAUCCACCCUGCCAUCUACCCUCCCAGGCCUUGGGAAGCCCCUCGGCUCCCCGAUCCCGGUCGGGGUUGGAGCUUUGGGGUCUUCUAGAAGGGUCUUCCACCUACUGGCUGCAGCUUCACUAAGAAUCCUGAUCCUUCAAAGGAUCAGGGUCUUGAGACCUGGAGGGCAGUGUCAAAAAAUGUACUGUUCAAAUAAAGCUCGACUACAUCAGAAUGGGUUUUUUGCCCAUCUCUUUCCUAA